GUAUAGCUCAAUUGAUAGAGUACCUGUUUAGCAUGCAUGAGGUCCUGGGUUCAAUCCCCAGUAC
rnacentral:tRNA from 1 species